GCAGCAAGCCUUGGCUGCUUUAGGCAUACCUGCCUGUGUGAAAACUGACAAUGGGCCAGCCUACGCCUCUCAGAAAGUUAGGAAUUUUUUAUGUCUGUGAGGCAUCUCUCAGAAAUUUGGUAUUCCUCAUUCUCCCACUGGUCAGGCUGCCGUUGAACGUGCUCAUCACACACUUAAAACUGUUUUAGAAAAACAAAAAGGGAGAAUGCAAGGGGAAACCCCACAGUCCAGACUUUUGAAAGCUCUAUAUACCAUAAAUCACUUGACCAUACUGGCUCAUUCAAACAAUCCCUCAAUUUUAAAUCAGUUUUAUUCCUUGCAGUGCACCAGUGAAACACAUUUGCCUCGAGCUAAAGUAUGGGUAAGGAAUUUGCUUACCAGUGAGUGGGAAGGCCCCUGGGACCUUGUCACUUGGGGACGUGGAUACGCUUGUGUUUCCACAGAUACUGGACCACGGUGGGUGCCAGCAAGGUGUGUGCGUCCUGAUUUGCGGCAGAAUAUCCCACCGCCUGUUCGGCCAAAUCCUGAGGAUAACAGCAACACAGGGAUGACCUUGGCAGCAUAGUUCGAGCUACCUCUGACCAGAGAAAGCGUCUAGCACAGCAUAAACCACGGAGGGGAAAACGUAGCAUCCAUGCGUUUGCCCCUGAUUGUGAUGACACCACCAAAUUUUGGCCAUCAGGGCCCUGCAAAAGUCAAUAACCACUGCCUUUGUAAUACAACAACAAAGAGGGGGACCUGAUGAGGCUGACAGCUGGACUGGAGGCCUCACAGAGUUAGACCUAAAAUCGAUCAGAAUUUACCCGUGAGAAUAUUGCAGUGAAAUUCUGCAGCUUCAGUGAAACCCACAAAGAAGGCCGGGAAGAUAAUUAAUAAGAGAAGAUGUUCUGGACAUGAAGGGAGGAUGUUCUUGUUAUGGGACAUUAAGAGUGUACAAGGAAGAACUUGUGGAUAAUAUGUAGCAACUAUACUUUUGCUUGUAUAGCUGAUUGUUUUAUGGUCUGAAUGGUCAUUGUUUGUUAGACAGCCUUGUCAUUGUUUUCUAAGCAGCCAAUCUUAAACUAGGCCACAGCCAUUGUGAAGAGGUAUAAGAAUAGCAGUAGAGAAAAUAAAAAUCUUUUACGGCUUUGGAUUACAACAAGUGUGUGCUGUCAUGUCAGUCUCGACAAAGUCACAAUUUACGUUAAAACAAGAGUUCCAAAUUGCAUCCAGUUUUCCAGUACCAAUUAAACCACAACCAUCACCACUGCUCCCCAUGGCAUUGGUUUAUGUGUAAUGAAAAUUUAUGAUGUACUAGUUGUGGCUUGACAGAUAGCUACUGGUGGCUGUGCGCAGGUGAGAAAGCUCAUAAACAGCUAUCUGGAUAGUAUAACGUAAAACAGUGCACUAUGGGUUACCUUGUCCCCCCUAUACAGCUUAUAAAUCAUGCUAGAGAAAUAAAAUGAAUCAUUAAGGGUAUUUAGAAAAAAUUGGGUCAGAGUGUGCCUUCAAACCCCCUGGUUAAGUACAAAACAAACUUCCACAGUUGUGUCAAAGCCUUAAUAUCUCCUUUCAGAAUAACACAAUUAAAGGAAACAAUAAUAAAAAUUUCAGGAAACAUAAAGUGAGUUACAAAUUUGACAAGAAAUACCUUAAAGAAGUUACAAACAAAAGUUGAGUCGUUGAAAGGAGUAAUUUUCCAAAACCGUAUGGUACUAAACAUGAUCACAACACACAUAAGAAGUUUAUGUACCUCAGUCAAUGUAGGUACAAAAAUGCUGUUAGUGAGGAACUUCUUGUUAUUUUUCUAAGUCCG